rnacentral:sRNA from 1 species
UUAUAAACCCGAUAGCAAUGGAAAGCCUCCGCUUUUUCAGCGGUGCUUGUAAUGAAUAGCGGGACUACAG